rnacentral:tRNA from 1 species
GGAAUUUUAGUUUAAAAAGAAUGGUUAGCUGUUAACUAAUAGGUGGGUAAAUCCUCAAAUUCCU